rnacentral:rRNA from 1 species
GCUUUACUGUAGCCUGUAAUUGAAUCCGGGCUGAGCUUGUGCAGGAUAGGUGGGAGGCAUUGAAGUUGCCCUUGUGGGGGCAAUGGAGCCAACGGUGAGAUACCACUCUGGCGCAGCUAGGAUUCUAACUUGGAGCCGUUAGCCGGCACAAGAACCGUUGCAGGUGGGCAGUUUGACUGGGGCGGUCGCCUCCUAAAUGGUAACGGAGGCGCGCAAAGGUUCCCUCAGCACGCUUGGAAACCGUGCAUAGAGUGUAAAGGCAUAAAGGGAGCUUGACUGCAAGAGUCACAACUCAAGCAGGGACGAAAGUCGGCCUUAGUGAUCCGACGGCACUGCGUGGAAGGGCCGUCGCUCAACGGAUAAAAGUUACUCUAGGGAAAACAGGCUGAAA